UACUGGCGCAAGAUUAUCACUUUUGUCUGCGUCGUCUUCAUCAUGCCUGAACCAGCGAAAUCCGCUCCUAAGAAAGGCUCCAAGAAGGCCGUCACUAAAACCGCCGCCGGUAAAGGAGGAAAGAAGCGCAGAAAGACCAGGAAGGAGAGCUACGCUAUCUACGUGUACAAAGUACUGAAGCAGGUUCAUCCCGACACCGGGAUCUCUUCUAAGGCGAUGGGGAUCAUGAACUCUUUCGUCAACGACAUCUUCGAGCGCAUCGCCGGUGAAGCGUCUCGUCUCGCUCACUACAACAAGCGCUCCACCAUCACCUCGAGAGAGAUCCAGACCGCCGUGCGUCUGCUGCUGCCCGGAGAACUGGCCAAACACGCCGUGUCUGAGGGAACCAAGGCCGUCACCAAGUACACCAGCUCCAAGUAGAGAUCCGCUCCAGCUCUACGAAACCCAAAGGUUCUUUUAAGAGCCACCCAUCUUGUCAUUUAAAGAGCUAGAUAUACACGAAGUGUGUUGUAACGUUCCUUGCAGAUGAAGUGUUUACAUUAAAUCUACGUAAAAGGUUACACCUUGGAUGAUGAUGUUCUGCCAUUUUAUUCCAUUUUCUACAAAUAUAUUAUAUAUAUAUAUAUAUAUAUAUAUAUAUAUAUAUAUAUAUGUACACACACACACGGGUGCCUUCCAGUCCAGUGUGACG